GCGGGGUUGCCCUAGCCUGGUAGGGGGCAGGCCUGCUAAGCCUGUGGUCUUUACGGGCCGCGCGGGUUCAAAUCCCGCACCCCGCGCCA
rnacentral:tRNA from 1 species